rnacentral:rRNA from 1 species
UACGUAGGGGGCGAGCGUUGUCCGGAUUUAUUGGGCGUAAAGAGCUCGUAGGCGGCUGUUCGAGUCGGGUGUGAAAUCCUGAGGCUUAACCUUGGGUCUGCAUUCGAUACUGGGCGGCUUGAGUCUGGUAGGGGGAUCUGGAAUUCCUGGUGUAGCGGUGGAAUGCGCAGAUAUCAGGAGGAACACCGAUGGCGAAGGCAGGUCUCUGGGCAUUAACUGACGCUGAGGAGCGAAAGCAUGGGGAGCGAACAGG